GAGAGGAAAGCUGCCGCACCCCCAGUCCUCCAACAAUGCGGCCUCUUGCUGUUCUCUAAUUUCUCUCUUCUUCUGAAGCUUGAGCUCCAUAGGAACAAAGCAGGCUCUGAGCACUGUGUCUGAUAGAAGAACAGACUUUCAAUGCCAGAGCAGCAUUUACUGUUCUGGUAUAAUAAUUUUGAUUUCUAGAGAAUUAAUGUUAAGUAGGUUGAAAUAGCCAAAAAAUAGCCUCUGACAUAGCACAGGUAUUUCACUGUCCCAAACUGGGAUAGCAUACAGAAAGCUGGAGUUUUACUAUUGUUUUUUGGCAGGUGUUGCUGAGACCUGCUGAGCUCACUGUGAUGGGGACAACCGAUGCUCUCCUGACACUGGAAGAUGGCUGACAUGGGUUUUACCUGAUUCGUGUGUUUUAACCCUUCAGAUGCCUCCAGAAAUAACAGUCAGCCAUAACAGAUGGUUUUGCAGUGCACACAAAGAAACUUGGAGUAUAGUGCUUCUGUCUUCUCAUGUUCAGAAACAGAAAGCCACUCUGGGCUCAGGAAUUUGAGUCUUCUUUAAAUAAGCCUUGAACAUAAAUAUCCUGUGAUUUAAUAAAGGCUCUGCAGAAAAAUGUAA